rnacentral:rRNA from 1 species
UCUCGCGUCAGGAUAUGCCUAGGUGGGAUUAGCUAGUUGUUGAGGUAAUGGCUCACCAAGGCGACGAUCCCUAGCUGGUCUGAGAGGAUGAUCAGCCACACUGGAACUGAGACACGGUCCAGACUCCUACGGGAGGCAGCAGUGGGGAAUAUUGCACAAUGGGCGCAAGCCUGAUGCAGCCAUGCCGCGUGUGUGAAGAAGGCCUUCGGGUUGUAAAGCACUUUCAGUCGUGAGGAAGGUAGUGUAGUUAAUAGCUGCAUUACUUGACGUUAGCGACAGAAGAAGCACCGGCUAACUCCGUGCCAGCAGCCGCGGUAAUACGGAGGGUGCGAGCGUUAAUCGGAAUUACUGGGCGUAAAGCGCAUGCAGGUGGUUUGUUAAGUCAGAUGUGAAAGCCCGGGGCUCAACCUCGGAAUAGCAUUUGAAACUGGCAGACUAGAGUACUGUAGAGGGGGGUAGAAUUUCA